UUACGAGAGGCAAAGGCAAGAAGGAAGAGGUAUUUUUACUGUGGUAGUCAUAUACUUUCUUGUAUCGUCGGGCCUUGUCAUUUGAUAUUUAGAAUCUUGUCAUUUUGGCUGGUGGGAUGGGGUGCCCUGUGCUUCUUAUAUCCCAUUUGGCACACGUUAGAUCUCAUGUUGUGGUUGUUCUUACUUCAUAAUUUUUUUUUCCAUCACAAUAAAUUCAGUUAUAAUUAAGAGCCAAGACAGAAGUGGGGUCAAAAAAUC
rnacentral:misc_RNA from 1 species